GGUGAUAGGUUCGGUGUGGAAGCGCGGUAACGCGUGGAGCUGACGAAUACUAAUCGGUCGAGGACUUAUCCACA
rnacentral:rRNA from 1 species